rnacentral:lncRNA from 7 species
CCAGACAUCCUUGCCUACCUGAGAUCUUCUAAAGCUGCAGGUCAGAUGCCACAGUAUCCUGGAAGCAUGGUAGGACAGAUGCCACCCGCUGGUACAACACUGGCAGCAGCAUGACUGUGCUCGGGAUCCAGAGCGGUGACAUGUUCAAAUUCAGAAGAUGAGAGCAUUCAAGUUAUGAACAUGCCAAAGCGUUGACUGGGAUGGACCUGGAAAGGCUAAUAAUUUCUGGGGUCUGACUAAUAGUAGAAGUGCUACAACACUUUCCGCUGUCUUAGACCGUGUAUUUGCAGCCAAGUGAUGUCAAUCCAAAAGGUUUACAUAAGUAUAAUAAGCAUCCAAAUUUCUGCACUGGACCUCUAUCCAUUAUUUGUUGAUCAUUACUAUGAAGAUCCUUUUCGGGGACCCAGUUCUGCAAAUGGUUAAGUGCGUGAGCAGCUUUCUCAGAUUUAUUGACUCAUGGUCAUUUGCAGGAUCAGAAUAUGGAAUAUUUGUUUUCUAUUCAAUAAAUCUCCCGCUUAAGUUACGUCUUCGUGGCUCCAGGAAAAGACUUCAGUCAUUUAAGAUGAAUGUCUUGAACUCUUCUCAGUGUUGAGAAUCCAUUCUCGGACAAGGAGGCAACAAGCACAUGGGAGAGAAGUCAGAACAAGAGUUUAGCUAGUCCUUAACCUUAGAGAGGGCUGUCUAAUUGUUGCAAUUUACGUAAAAUCAUGAAAUGAUCAUGCCUUCCCCAGGUACAACCCAUUGAAGUUUGUGCUGCAGACUGGUCUCAAGGAGCUCCAGCUGGGCUUCUGCUAGGCAAGCCCAUGAGGAGAGGUGCUGCCCAGCAGCACUCCUGGUGCAUGCCACCUCCUCAUGGGCACCCAGCCAGCCUGGGGCCAGACUGAAGGGAGCCUCGAGCAGCUGCUGAGGCUGGGUCCUCAGCACCAACUCACUCCAGAGAUCUGCUCCAACUGCAUCAUAUUGCUUGUUGAUACAGGCAAAGCUGUGGCCUUCCCCAAAACCCAUCUUGGUGAUGAAGCUCAAAGUUUUGAAAAUUGCUGAAUGUUCCUCAGGAUAACUGCAAACAGCAAAAGGGAAGCAAGGAAAGAGAAGUUAGGAAAUCUUGUUUGGAUAAAGGCAGCAGAGCCCUUACCUUUCACCCACUUUGUAGCUGAACUUUUCAUACAGUUUAGAGAAAAGACUUAACCUCAUCUUCCUCUAACCUCCUCCCAUACCGCCUCCAUCUCUGGCAGCCUCCUCUGACUCCUCAUUGUGCUGCUGUUUGCAGAACCUCUUGCAGCACCCUGGGCAAGUACACAGCAUUUGAGGGUAUUUCUGAUCCAUUUGGAGACCCUAGAGCUGCUCCUUUCAGUGUUCCCUAGGUGAUCCACCUUGGCUGGGGACCCUCUACUUGAUAAGAAGACUACAGAAAUACUUGGACCACAGAAAUGAGGGGUAAAGUCUUACCAUAGUGAAGUUAAUAGGAGGUUUUCCUUCACCUUCGUCUGGAUGAGAUUUUGCCUGAGAGCUACUUGCCCUUAGCAUCGACAUGAGGGAGCAGUGUGCAGCCACAAAACUUUCAACUGGUUACAAAACUGAACUCAGAAAGAAGAGUUCAGGGCCUGGUCCUGCUGCUCUUCCCCAUUGCUUAGGGAAUGGAUUUAGAAGGUCUUGUAUGACAAGGAAAAUCAAAAGAGUCCUGAAAUUGUGCAUGGAGGCAUCACAAGUGCAUGAGGACAAUUGCUGGGAAUUUGGAAACCUGCAUUAUAGUGGGAGAACAGCAUCUGUCAUGUCUUUGUUGCAUUUAGGAUAAGUCAGCCUGUACGCACCAACAGCUGUUUGUGUGAUACUCAGAUAUCACAGCAUUCUCAACCUACUCCCUUCUCUGGGUUAUGGAGAGGGCACUGCCAACACCUCAGAAAUCCCCUCUUGUCGGAAGAUAACUUUUGAGGUAGAGAUGUUUUAAAAAUAACUCCAAAGACAACAAACACAUGAAGGCUAAAGGACAAAUGGGAGGAUGACUGCCGACUUCACAUUUCUCUCCUUACUUCAGAAUCCAAAUGCUGUAAGGUUUGUUUCCAGUUUCAGACUUCAAUUAUUGUUUUUUUUUCUUGACUGAGGAUGAAUGAUGAAAAACAAGAAACUAGUAAUAAUGUUCUACAUCUGUUUGGCAAACAGUUUCUCGUUCUUGCUUUUAGCAUGUUCAACAGCUCUAUGUCUCUGCUGAUCUGAGAAUAUUUAGUGAGCAGCAAGGGUGAAAUAUAUUGACUUCUCAGUGGCUAUAUUAAAAUUGCAAUGAGAAAAACAGAAGAGAGAGAAAACUUCAAAGUUCUACUUCUUGUAUGGCUUGGCACGUUCUUCUUUAUUUAUUAUCUGUACUGGUAUAGUGCCUGCAUCAGGCAGCAGUAGCCUGCUGUGCUUUGGAAAAUGUGUAACAAAAGUAUACUGCCCAUGGACCUGCC